rnacentral:lncRNA from 1 species
CGAAGCUGUGGGAACAAAACAAAAAUUCAAAAAUUCUGAACCGAAUCACAGAACUACUUAUAAUAAAUCAAUCUAUUACAAACCGUCUCAAAACAGAUUGAAUUCUUCAAUCCCAGUCGCUCCGAUUUGACGAAUUCUUAAGGUUGAUGGCCGGCAAUCCUGGUUACGACGCCGAGAUGAGCGCCUCCACCUUUUUCACAAAAGAUGGACAGAGGCUGCCGCUGCAGCUGCAGCGCAGGCCAGCGGAGCCAUGGACAGAGGCGAUCGGGGGAGGCCGGACCACCAGAGGCGGACUGGGGGUGGGGGAGACGGCGAGGCGGCGGACUAAGGUCUGGGGUAGGAGGCGGACUUGAGAAAGAAACCCUAACUUUCGUGACUUUCAUCUGCCGUUCAAAGAUGAAUGAGUGCAGCAGGGAUUAAUCAAAUUCGUUGAGAGAAUCAC